AAGGAUCAUUACCUAGAGUUUGUGGGCUUUGCCUGCUAUCUCUUACCCAUGAUUUUUGCGCACCAAUUGUUUCCUCGGCAGGCCUGCCUGCCAGUAGGACCCCUUUAAACCACUUGCAAUUGCAGUCAGCGUCAGAAAAACUUCAAUAGUUACAACUUUCAACAACGGAUCUCUUGGUUCUGGCAUCGAUGAAGAACGCAGCGAAAUGCGAUAAGUAGUGUGAAUUGCAGAAUUCAGUGAAUCAUCGAAUCUUUGAACGCACAUUGCGCCCCUCGGUAUUCCGUGGGGCAUGCCUGUUCGAGCGUCAUCUACACCCUCAAGCUCUGCUUGGUGUUGGGCGUCUGUCCCGCCUCUGCGCGCGGACUCGCCCCAAAUUCAUUGGCAGCGGUCCUUGCCUCCUCUCGCGCAGCACAUUGCGUUUCUUGAGGUGCGCGGCCCGCGUCCACGAAGCAACAUUUACCGUCUUUGACCUCGGAUCAGGUAGGGAUACCCGCUGAACUUAAG
rnacentral:rRNA from 1 species